CCUACGGGUCGCACCAGUGGGGAAUAUUGGACAAUGGGCGAAAGCCUGAUCCAGCAAUGCCGCGUGUGUGAAGAAGGUCUUCGGAUUGUAAAGCACUUUCGACGGGGACGAUGAUGACGGUACCCGUAGAAGAAGCCCCGGCUAACUUCGUGCCAGCACCCGCGGUAAUACGAAGGGGGCUAGCGUUGCUCGGAAUGACUGGGCGUAAAGGGCGCGUAGGCGGUUUAUGCAGUCAGAUGUGAAAUCCCCGGGCUUAACCUGGGAACUGCAUUUGAGACGCAUAGACUAGAGGUCGAGAGAGGGUUGUGGAAUUCCCAGUGUAGAGGUGAAAUUCGUAGAUAUUGGGAAGAACACCGGUGGGGAAGGCGGCACCCUGGACCAGCACUGACACUGAGGCACGAAAGCGUGGGGAGCAAACAGGAUUAGAUACCCCGGUAGUC
rnacentral:rRNA from 1 species